UCUGACGUUGGUGGUGGUCCUGAGCCUCACCUUAUACACCUUCUGGGCAGCGAGGAGAGGCCAGGACUUCAACUUUCUUGGACCCUUCCUGUUUGCAGCUAUUAUGAUCCUCAUGGUGUUCGGCCUCAUACAGGUCUUCAUACCAAUGGGGAAGGUGUCUACCAUGGUGUAUGGAGCUUUAGGAGCAAUCAUAUUCUGUGGCUAUAUCAUCUAUGACACCGACAAUUUGAUAAAGAGAUACACGUACGACGAGUAUAUUUGGG
rnacentral:misc_RNA from 1 species